AAUCCAUGUUAAGGGUACUUCCUUAAAAGGUCCUUGAAGAGCUCCCAUGCUUCAUACAAUGUUUCCAUCUCAUAUUGUCUAAAAGUGUUGAUGUCAUUAAUUAACUU